rnacentral:tRNA from 1 species
UCCCCGGUAGCUCAGUCGGUAGAGCAGGUGGCUGUUAACCACCCUGUCGCUGGUUCGAGU